AUGCUCCCUUCCUCAGCACAUAUACUAAAAUUGGGAUGAUACAGAGAAGAUUAGUGUGGCCAUUGCACAAGGAUGACAUGGAAAUUCAUCUGUAUCUCAUACCGUAC